rnacentral:lncRNA from 1 species
GGGGGAAACCCGAGCUCCCAACAAAACAGUUCCAUCUUUGGCUAGGCCUUUGGUAUUUCAAGGCGCUGCCAGUGGGGAGAGAUGCCGCGUGCCCGAGAGGCUCUGGGAGGUCGCCGCAGCUUUCGCUUCCCGGGUCUUACAUUUCCGAAGGGGCUGAACGUCUGCAGAGGAACCGGAGCUGAUGCUGGGGCUGGGGCCGGGGCGGGAAUCUAACGAAUGCACCUCUGGGGAGGCUAGAGGGAGCGCGGCUCAUCCUCCUCCCCGGGCACCAAAGAAGGCCCAGAGAGGUUUAACAACUUCCUCAGAAUCACACAGCUUCCAAAUGGUUGGGUUGGGUUUACAUUUAGGCGGUCUUGCUCCAGAGCCAGUGCACCUAACCUUUGCAAGCCACGAACCUCAACAAAGUGGAGAAGGAAACGCUGGGAAAUUUGGAAGUCAGACAUGAGAGCUAAUGCUGGCAGCUGUUGGGAUGUCCUCUUCCAGGAAUGGUGAUGAGUUUCCCUGGAUCCAGCCCUGGC